AUUGAACGCUGGCGGCAUGCCUUACACAUGCAAGUCGAACGGCAGCGCGGGGCAACCUGGCGGCGAGUGGCGAACGGGUGAGUAAUAUAUCGGAACGUACCCUGGAGUGGGGGAUAACGUAGCGAAAGUUACGCUAAUACCGCAUACGAUCUAAGGAUGAAAGUGGGGGAUUCGCAAGAACCUCAUGCUCCUGGAGCGGCCGAUAUCUGAUUAGCUAGUUGGUAGGGUAAAAGCCUACCAAGGCAUCGAUCAGUAGCUGGUCUGAGAGGACGACCAGCCACACUGGAACUGAGACACGGUCCAGACUCCUACGGGAGGCAGCAGUGGGGAAUUUUGGACAAUGGGCGCAAGCCUGAUCCAGCAAUGCCGCGUGAGUGAAGAAGGCCUUCGGGUUGUAAAGCUCUUUUGUCAGGGAAGAAACGGGUCUUUCUAAUACAGAGAUCUAAUGACGGUACCUGAAGAAUAAGCACCGGCUAACUACGUGCCAGCAGCCGCGGUAAUACGUAGGGUGCAAGCGUUAAUCGGAAUUACUGGGCGUAAAGCGUGCGCAGGCGGUUUUGUAAGACUGUCGUGAAAUCCCCGGGCUCAACCUGGGAAUGGCGAUGGUGACUGCAAGGCUAGAGUUUGGCAGAGGGGGGUAGAAUUCCACGUGUAGCAGUGAAAUGCGUAGAUAUGUGGAGGAACACCGAUGGCGAAGGCAGCCCCCUGGGUCAAAACUGACGCUCAUGCACGAAAGCGUGGGGAGCAAACAGGAUUAGAUACCCUGGUAGUCCACGCCCUAAACGAUGUCUACUAGUUGUCGGGUUUUAAUUAACUUGGUAACGCAGCUAACGCGUGAAGUAGACCGCCUGGGGAGUACGGUCGCAAGAUUAAAACUCAAAGGAAUUGACGGGGACCCGCACAAGCGGUGGAUGAUGUGGAUUAAUUCGAUGCAACGCGAAAAACCUUACCUACCCUUGACAUGGCAGAAAUCCCGGAGAGAUUUGGGAGUGCUCGAAAGAGAAUCUGCACACAGGUGCUGCAUGGCUGUCGUCAGCUCGUGUCGUGAGAUGUUGGGUUAAGUCCCGCAACGAGCGCAACCCUUGUCAUUAGUUGCUACGAAAGAGCACUCUAAUGAGACUGCCGAUGACAAACCGGAGGAAGGUGGGGAUGACGUCAAGUCCUCAUGGCCCUUAUGGGUAGGGCUUCACACGUCAUACAAUGGUACAUACAGUGGGCCGCCAACCCGCGAGGGGGAGCUAAUCCCAGAAAGUGUAUCGUAGUCCGGAUUGUAGUCUGCAACUCGACUGCAUGAAGUUGGAAUCGCUAGUAAUCGCGGAUCAGCAUGUCGCGGUGAAUACGUUCCCGGGUCU
rnacentral:rRNA from 1 species